GUGCACGCUGGCGGUAGGCCUAACACCUGCCAGUCGCACGGCAGCACAGUAAGAGCUUGCUCUUACGGGUGGCGAGUGGCGGACGGGUGAGGAAUACAUCGGAAUCUACUUUUUCGUGGGGGAUAACGUAGGGAAACUUACGCUAAUACCGCAUACGACCUACGGGUGAAAGCAGGGGAUCUUCGGACCUUGCGCGAUUGAAUGAGCCGAUGUCGGAUUAGCUAGUUGGCGGGGUAAAGGCCCACCAAGGCGACGAUCCGUAGCUGGUCUGAGAGGAUGAUCAGCCACACUGGAACUGAGACACGGUCCAGACUCCUACGGGAGGCAGCAGUGGGGAAUAUUGGACAGUGGGCGCAAGCCUGAUCCAGCCAUACCGCGUGGGUGAAGAAGGCCUUCGGGUUGUAAAGCCCUUUUGUUGGGAAAGAAAAGCAGCAGGUUAAUACCCCGCUGUUCUGACGGUACCCAAAGAAUAAGCACCGGCUAACUUCGU
rnacentral:rRNA from 1 species